rnacentral:misc_RNA from 1 species
AAAAAUUUCAGUUUUCCUGUAGCUGGAUAUUUUUUUGUAUUGCAAAAUGACUGUUAAAUUCAAAGCACUAUUGUAAUGAUGUGGGAGGGGGUAGUAUUUCAAUUCAUGUGUUUGUUCAAAUCAUUGUUAUAACAGUUAUAUUUUCUUUGAUCUCAUCGUGUUUUCGUUUUUACGUUGUCCAAACUCUCUGUGAUCUGAAUCUAUUUCACUGCCCUGUAAAUAAGACAAACAGUCAGUGUGAUCUGCAUCAAGAACGCUUGGUUAAGUGGUGAGAUAUAGACUGUAAGUUCUCCAGGUUAAGUGUUGAGAUAUAGACUGUAAGUUCUCCAGGUUAAGUGUUGAGAUCUAAACUGUAAGUUCUCUAGGUUAAGUGGUGAGAUAUAGACUGUAAGUUCUCCAUUCCAUGAUGUACAGAUUUUUUUAUUGUUAUUUUAUUGUUUUAAUUUUAUGAUCGUAUUUUUAUCAUAGUCAAGUGAUCUGAUUUACAGUAGGUUUAUUUUUUCUAAGAUUUUUUGAUUUAUUAUGUUUGUUUAUCAAUGUUCACAUACUCAGUUGAUUGUAUAAGUGAUGAAUAAGAUUAGUGAUAUAAUUUAUAAUUGAUUGGAGAAUGUUUAUAGAGCGAUUGUACUUUAUUAAUGUAUUUACAUGAGUUAUGACGAAAAAUGAAGUUUGAAUUUGUACAAUUAUUCCUCAAUUUUUUUUAUAUUGUUACAAUGACAAUGCAUUUAUAUUUUUAUAAUAAAAUACGCAGUUCAGC